UAGUGCUGAAGCAAAGCUCAAGGGAGUCACAGAAGAGGAUCCUGGCUUGCAGGACAGGGCUGUUUGAGGAAACAAAAAUGGGUCUCUUUGUGGGGAUGUGAGCAAAUUUGCUGAAUGUGAAACAUCUGUGUGGACAAAUUCAAUGGAACACGUGUUACAGCCUUUCAGAGCGUGGACCAUAUUUUGGAUCUGGAUGUGGUGAUGGGAGAGACGAGAAGAAUGAAAGCAACGAAUAUAUCUGCCCUGGGAUGUCCUCAUCUGUCCUGGAAGGCACUGUGCACAUGCUUGGUACAAU